GCAACAGUCAGCAAGGGACGACCAACAGAUGUCAUCUACCUGGCCUUCUGUACAGUCAUCUACCUGGCCUUUGAUACAGUUCCUCAUGACUGCCUUAUCUCCCAGUUGGAGGCAUAUGGGCCUGAAGGGUAGACUUAUUGGUGGGCAAGGAACUGGCUGGAUGGGCACAGACAGGUUGUGACCAAUGGCUCUAAGUCCAGGUGGAUGCUGGUGAUGGGUGGUGUCCCUCAGGGCCCUGUUUGGGACUGAUUCUCAUCAGUAUCUUCAUCAAUGAUAGAGUGGAGUCAGGUGCAUCCUCAGAAGGUUUCCAGAUGACACAAAACUGAGCACAACAGAAGGAUUAAGACAACAGAAGGAUUGGUUUCCAUCCUGAGACAUCCUGACAAACUUGAGAGGCAACAGGUGGUCAGAGGAUCUGAGGGCCAAUUGCUGGAGCACCUAAGGCCAGUCCCUGGAGACAUCCACAGUGUGUGUGUCUUGGUGUGCAUCAGAGUCUGCACCAGCAGUGGGCCUGGCGUUACAUAUCUCUGCUGCUAACAGGAGAGCUAACAAUACAGUUGCUGGUUCAACUGGAUAUUUAAGGGUGUGACCUAGUGGAAUGGCAGCAUUUCCUGGAGCAUGAGAGGAAAUCUAAACCAUUACAAAACCAGGGAGGCAGGAGCAUCAGCUGUAUUCCUCUAUGCAUCUAUAUACUGAUGUACAAGAAAUACUUCCAAAAAUAACUCCUUGGAAGAUUCUGUAUAAUUUGUUUGCCCUUUUGUGCCUGUUUAAUAUAUUUCAAUCUUUUCAGUAUUUCCAAUAUUUACAUCUGGCAAAUGUAUGUGUACCUUUCUGAGUGUAGAAAGUGGUAAGAAAGCCAUCAAAACACCACUGUCAUUACUGCAUCUCUAUAGAGCAUUUUCUCAUGAAGGAUUUUAGUUAGAAGCUUCUAAAAUUGCCUUUAUGCAAUUUUAUUUCCUUAAGUAUAAUAAUAAAAAAAUAAAAAUAAAAGUAUUUGGUUUACUUCCCAAAGCUAAAAACACAGCAUUUUUGCUCUUGCACAGUAAGAAAUUAAAUUAAAAGUAUGUAUAAUUUUCAUUAAACACACUCUGGUGCUGUAUACUUUUAUCUUCUGUUCAGUGUUGAUUGCUGCCUUCUAACUCUAUUUGUAGGUAAACAAUGUUUUCUUUUUGUUAGAGAUUAAAGAAAUCCAGCAGGGUGUGAGAACAUAAAGAUUAAUUUUCAACUUAGAUUAAUGAUGAAUGUUCCUGUAAACAACAAAGAUCCAGUAAGUAGACAAUGCAAUACUGGAAGAAAACUGUGCACAAAGUGUCACUGCAGUAAGGCAUCCUAUUACAUAAAUAGUCAAGAGAUAUUUUAUCCCUUUUAAACAUAUAUUUUAGCAAAGUAAUUGACAAUUACUGAUUGGUUGUGAAAUAUUAGAAACAAAUUUAUAUACCUAUAAAAUUUUCAUUUAAAUAAAAUGUACACUUAUUCAUGUGACAUAUAUGUACGAUUCUGUUUAUUAACAUUAUGAUUCAUUUACACUGUAUGCAGUGCAUAUUACACUGCAUGUUUUAUCGUCACAAGUAUGCAAAAUGAAAUGGUAGUUAAGUGUUCUUGCAAAGGCUACUUAGCAUUUCUGAAUACAAAUGCUAUGAUGAUUCAUAUUCCACUGUUGGGAAUGUCUCUGUGCCCCAGUUUUGUCAGCUGGCUUUGGAGAUAAUUCCAAACUCUUCACUAGGCCCAAUACUACUUUUUACUACAUACCCAUGUCCUGCAGUCCUGCCAACUUCAGACACAUCAAUGUCAUGGUUUCGACAUGGUGACCGUGGCUCAGAUUCACAGUCAUCUUCGUCGGAAUAGUCUCCACAGUCAUUAUCUACAUUGCACACAAGUCUUCGCUUUAUGCAUCGACCUGAUCAAGGAAUAAAACAUUGCCUGAAUGCAUUUUUAUCAAGAUGGACUUUAAAUGGCACCCUCAGCUACUCUUUAUUAAGAUCGUCCUCUGUGUAUAUUUCUACUGUUGUCUUGAGGGACUAAAAUCCUAUGCUCUGCCACUUUCAAGUGAAAAAACCUGCAUACUACUGUUAUAUGUAAGAUAGCAGGAUGACUGAGAAAAGUAAGUUGCAGGAGAACUGCUGGCACCUGAAGAAAAUUGUUGCAUCCUAGACUGUUCUAUAGUGAAGUUCAAUUGUUUGGUUGGUUGGGGUUUUCUUAUUUGUUUUAAGAGAACACAGGGAAAUAUCAAUUCAAAAUCAACAAAAAAUUCUUUCUAAAUAAUUUAAAUGGUUGGUGUUUGGACUAUAUUAUUUAAAUAAUACGGACAUGUAGUAUCCAAAACUGUAGUGAUUUGUGCUCUAAAGAAACAGGGAAGUAGUAACUUUCCUGAGUUUACAUAUCACAAGUUUUACAAAGAUGAUUUUUUUUUUCUUUCUACAGAAUUUAAAGACUUUAGUAAAUUAGCUGUAGUAUAAUAAAUCAACACUUUGAUAUUGUCAACCACACCUGUAAAUGCCACACAAUCUAUGUGAACUAGUAGUUAAAGGUUUACUUUCUACUUUUAAAUUGUUUUAUUUGCACUUUUCAGUGUUUUAGUUAAAAGCAAUACAAAAAAUGGCUUGGAACUUCAAAUUCAUUUACCAUCUUUCUGGUUUUGUUUUAACUGGUUUUAGUACUAUAAACUUUUCCUACUUUAUUUUGAUUUCUGAUGAAUCUUGAGCACUACAUUCAUAUGCCUUGUAUCACUUUACAAAUUGUAUCUUAUUUUGGAUCUAGAUGCAUGCUGGUCUCCAAAUAGCAUCUAUUGUGUCAGUUGGAUUGGUAAACUUCCAUAUCCAUUCUGUUAAGAUUCCCUAGUUCUAGUUUUUUUUUCCUGGUGAUUUUUCAUAAAACCUAGUGAUCCAGCAGCAAGUGGGGCAAUUAAGCUAGAAGAAAGGAUAUGGUCAGUAUGGUCAGCUUCUAACCAUGGAGUAGAAGUUACAGAAGAAUUUAGGCAUGAAUUAAAAUGGAAGAUGAGAGGAAUGUAUUCCUUCUUAAGUGGUUUUGCUGCUGUGGUUUUGGCAUUGUGGUUUUGAGCCCACCUGUCCAUGGACUGUUUCUAAGUGCUAGCAAGAGGCUGAUGUAACUUAUUCACAGAACUAAAAUGUGGUUUCUGAGUUACUGCUUUACUUGCCAUGGCAUGAAAACAAAACCCACCUGAACUGCACUGAUAGUCAGCACCACAGUUUGGUUCUGGUUCUUCAGGACAGGCUUUGCUGGGUUUACAGAUUUGUGUGUCUCCUAGGGCCUCCAGACAUGCUUUUCCACCAAACUGCCCAAAUCUUUCAAUACGUCUGGAACGAAACUUGAAAGAAAAAUAACACUAUUAAUAUUGCUCAGAGAGAAAAGAGAACUCUACCAGAACUUCAGGGUUUCCAGCUGAACUUAGUGCUUUUCAAAACUAAACACCUUUGGUGAAAUUUUUGUUUAAAAUCCUAAGGCAGAAUUAAUGAAUAAAAUAAAAUUGAAAUAGUAAUUAUGAUUAAUAAUACUUAGUAUGUAAAG